AAAUUUCAUUAUUUUUUCUUCUUUCCUUUUUUAAACAGAUAGAAUGCCUGACUGGGGAACCCUUGCUAACCAAGUCAGAAGAUGAAAGAACUGAAGACUGGUCAUCUGUGCAGAGGAAAUGACAAGGCCUCGUCUGCCCUGGAUGCUGGCCUCCCCCUGCUUUCCGAGCAGAGUGAUCUGGUGUCCAUCGUUGCUGCCCGGGAGAGCACGGGAAGGCGGCGCGGCAGGAGUUACUCGGCUGCGGCUCCUCGCAGCCCUGCGUGCGGCGCUUCGCAGCCAUCUUAGCUGUGGGCAGAAAGCCCAUCAGGACUUGCACCACACGUCAGCUGAUCAAUUGGUCAUUCGAACUGUUUGCCGUGGACCAGCAAGCAUGAAGAGCUGCUACACCAAAAGGUCCCCAUAUUGAUUAUGCUGAAAGCAGUGGAAGAUCACUGCACUUGAAACGUGAACUACUGUCUUUGGGGUGAGAUCUGGUUUCUAGUGAAGCAUUGCUUUAGUUUUUCUUUAGUUUUACUGGGUGUGGCUGACGUAUGUGAUCAUUCAUUCCUGUCUUUAGUUUACUGUUAUCGAAAAUACCAAGAGAAAUUAAAGAUAAUGAAAGCAGGGUAU
rnacentral:lncRNA from 1 species